GACGAACGCUGGCGGCGUGCUUAACACAUGCAAGUCGAACGAAGCUUGAUUACGGAUUCUUCGGAUGAAGUAUGAUAUGACUGAGUGGCGGACGGGUGAGUAACGCGUGAGUAACCUGCCCUUCAGAGGGGGAUAGCGUUUGGAAACGAACGGUAAUACCGCAUAAUGUAUUUUGACCGCAUGAUCGAAAUACCAAAGAUUUAUCGCUGAAGGAUGGACUCGCGUCUGAUUAGGUAGUGGGUGGGGUAACGGCCUACCAAGCCGACGAGCAGUAGCCGGACUGAGAGGUGGAUCGGCCACAUUGGGACUGAGACACGGCCCAGACUCCUACGGGAGGCAGCAGUGGGGAAUAUUGCACAAUGGGCGCAAGCCUGAUGCAGCAACGCCGCGUGAAGGAAGACGGUUUUCGGAUUGUAAACUUCUGUUCUUAGAGAAGAAUAAUGACGGUAGCUAAGGAGCAAGCCACGGCUAACUACGUG
rnacentral:rRNA from 1 species